UCCGAAUUAGUUUAGUGGCUAUGACGGCGCCUUGUCAGUGUUCUCCGCGUAGAUGGUACGGCGCAGACCCGGGUUCAAUUCCCGGAUUCGGAG
rnacentral:tRNA from 1 species